rnacentral:rRNA from 1 species
GCCUAACACAUGCAAGUCGAACGAGAAAGUGGAGCAAUCCAUGAGUAAAGUGGCGACCGGGUGAGUAACACGUGACUAACCUACCCUCGAGUGGGGAAUAACUCCGGGAAACCGGGGCUAAUACCGCAUAACAUCGCAAGAUCAAAGCAGCAAUGCGCUUGAGGAGGGGGUCGCGGCUGAUUAGCUAGUUGGCGGGGUAACGGCCCACCAAGGCGAAGAUCGGUAUCCGGCCUGAGAGGGCGCACGGACACACUGGAACUGAAACACGGUCCAGACUCCUACGGGAGGCAGCAGUGGGGAAUUUUGCGCAAUGGGGGAAACCCUGGCGCAGCAACGCCGCGUGGAGGAUGAAGCCCUUUGGGGCGUAAACUCCUUUCGACUCGGACGAUAAUGACGGUACGAGUGGAAGAAGCACCGGCUAACUCUGUGCCAGCAGCCGCGGUAAUACAGAGGGUGCGAGCGUUGUUCGGAAUUAUUGGGCGUAAAGGGCGCGUAUGCGGUGCGGUAAGUCACCUGUGAAAUCUCCUGGCUUAACU